GCCCGGGUGAUGGAAUAGGUAGACAGCAGGGCCUUAAAAGCCCUUGCCCCCCAGGGGCGUGUGGGUUCGAGUCCCACCCCGGGCA
rnacentral:tRNA from 1 species